GCGAAGAACCUUACCUACUCUUGACAUCCAGAGAACUUUCCAGAGAUGGAUUGGUGCCUUCGGGAACUCUGAGACAGGUGCUGCAUGGCUGUCGUCAGCUCGUGUUGUGAAAUGUUGGGUUAAGUCCCGCAACGAGCGCAACCCUUAUCCUUGUUUGCCAGCGAGUAAUGUCGGGAACUCCAGGGAGACUGCCGGUGAUAAACCGGAGGAAGGUGGGGACGACGUCAAGUCAUCAUGGCCCUUACGAGUAGGGCUACACACGUGCUACAAUGGCGCAUACAGAGGGCAGCCAACUUGCGAAAGUGAGCGAAUCCCAAAAAGUGSGKSGUAGUCCGGAUUGGAGUCUGCAACUCGACUCCAUGAAGUCGGAAUCGC
rnacentral:rRNA from 1 species